UACGGGGGGGGUAAGCGUUGUUCGGAAUUACGUGGGCGUAAAGGCUCGUAGGCGGCCAACUAAGUCAGACGUGAAAUCCCUCAGCUUAACUGGGGAACUGCGUCUGAUACUGGAUGGCUUGGAUUUGGGAGAGGGAUGCGGAAUUCCAGGUGUAGCGGUGAAAUGCGUAGAUAUCUGGAGGAACACCGGUGGCGAAGGCGGCAUCCUGGACCAAUAUUGACGCUGAGGAGCGAAAGCCAGGGGAGCAAACGGGG
rnacentral:rRNA from 1 species